GGAUAAUACUGGAUAGGCAAUUUUUCCUGUAAUGGUUUUUUGUUUAAAUGUUUUUUCGCCUAAGGAUGGGUCUGCGGCCGAUUAGGUAGUUGGUUAGGUAAUGGCUUACCAAGCCGUUGAUCGGUACGGGUUGUGAGAGCAAGAGCCCGGAGAUGGAACCUGAGACAAGGUUCCAGGCCCUACGGGGUGCAGCAGGCGCGAAACCUCCGCAAUGUGAGAAAUCGCGACGGGGGGAUCCCAAGUGCCAUUCUUAACGGGAUGGCUUUUCAUUAGUGUAAAGAGCUUUUGGAAUAAGAGCUGGGCAAGACCGGUGCCAGCCGCCGCGGUAACACCGGCAGCUCUAGUGGUAGCAAUUUUUAUUGGGCCUAAAGCGUCCGUAGCCGGUUUAAUAAGUCUCUGGUGAAAUCCUGCAGCUUAACUGUGGGAAUUGCUGGAGAUACUAUUAGACUUGAGACCGGGAGAGGUUAGAGGUACUCCCAGGGUAGAGGUGAAAUUCUGUAAUCCUGGGAGGACCGCCUGUUGCGAAGGCGUCUAACUGGAACGGUUCUGACGGUGAGGGACGAAAGUUAGGGGCGCGAACCGGAUUAGAUACCCGGGUAGUCCUAACUGUAAACGAUGCGGACUUGGUGUUGGGGGUGGCUUUGAGCUGCUUCAGUGCCGAAGGGAAGCUGUUAAGUCCGCCGCCUGGGAAGUACGGUCGCAAGACUGAAACUUAA
rnacentral:rRNA from 1 species